UGGGACAUCCAGCUUCGGAGUGGUAAUCUUUGUUGCACCAGCAAUGGAAAAAGAGAAUUAAAUAUGGGCGACGUUGAGAAAGGCAAGGAGAUUUUUGUUCAGAAGUGUUCCCAAUGCCACACCGUGGAAAAGGGAGGUAAGCACAAGACUGGGCCUAAUCUCCAUGGUAUCACUGAGUGGAAGACAGGUCAGCCCACUGGAUUCCCUUACACUGAUGCCAAUAAGAACAAAGGCAUCACCUGGGGAGAGGAUACACUGAUGGAGUAUUUGGAGAAUCCCAAGAAGUACAUCCCUGGAACAAAAAUGAUCUUUGCUGGCAUUAAGAAGGGAGAAAGGUCAGACUUGAUAGCUUCUCUCAAAAAAGCUACUAAUGAAUAAUAAUUGGCCACUGCCUUAUUUAUUACAAAACAAAUGUCUCAUGACUUUUGUAUGUGUACCACACUUUAAUAGAUCUCAUACACCAGAAUUAUUUACAUCAUGAAUGAAUGACAGAAUAUUUUGUUGGGAAGUCCUG